AUUCGAUGAUACGGAGAACCUCACCCGGGCUUGAACUGCAGGGGAACGAUCCCAGAGAUGGUGAGGUCAGCAAUGACUCCUGUGGAGGUGCUGCAUGGUUGUCGUCAGCUCGUGCCGUGAGGUGUCGGCUUAAGUGCCAUAACGAGCGCAACCCUUUUCUCUAGUUGCCAUCAGGUAGAGCUGGGCACUCUGGAGACACUGCCACCGUAAGGUGUGAGGAAGGUGGGGAUGACGUCAAAUCAGCACGGCCCCUACGUCCGGGGCUACACACGUGUUACAAUGGGUGAUACAGAGAGUUAGUCGUUCGCAAGAACGGUUUAAUCAAGAAAGUCAUCCUCAGUUCGGAUUGGGGUCUGCAACCCGACCCCAUGAAGCUGGAUUCGCUAGUAAUCGCGCAUCAGCCAUGGCGCGGUGAAUACGUUCCCGGGCCUUGUACACACCGCCCGUCAAGCCAUGAAAGCCGGGGGCGCUUGAAGUCCGUGACCGCAAGGAUCGGCCUAGAGCGAAACUGGUAAUUGGGGCU
rnacentral:rRNA from 1 species